GGUUAAGCGACUAAGCGUACACGGUGGAUGCCCUGGCAGUCAGAGGCGAUGAAGGACGUGCUAAUCUGCGAUAAGCGUCGGUAAGGUGAUAUGAACCGUUAUAACCGGCGAUUUCCGAAUGGGGAAACCCAGUGUGUUUCGACACACUAUCAUUAACUGAAUCCAUAGGUUAAUGAGGCGAACCGGGGGAACUGAAACAUCUAAGUACCCCGAGGAAAAGAAAUCAACCGAGAUUCCCCCAGUAGCGGCGAGCGAACGGGGAGCAGCCCAGAGCCUGAAUCAGUGUGUGUGUUAGUGGAAGCGUCUGGAAAGGCGCGCGAUACAGGGUGACAGCCCCGUACACAAAAAUGCACAUGCUGUGAGCUCGAUGAGUAGGGCGGGACACGUGGUAUCCUGUCUGAAUAUGGGGGGACCAUCCUCCAAGGCUAAAUACUCCUGACUGACCGAUAGUGAACCAGUACCGUGAGGGAAAGGCGAAAAGAACCCCGGCGAGGGGAGUGAAAAAGAACCUGAAACCGUGUACGUACAAGCAGUGGGAGCACGCUUAGGCGUGUGACUGCGUACCUUUUGUAUAAUGGGUCAGCGACUUAUAUUCUGUAGCAAGGUUAACCGAAUAGGGGAGCCGAAGGGAAACCGAGUCUUAACUGGGCGUUAAGUUGCAGGGUAUAGACCCGAAACCCGGUGAUCUAGCCAUGGGCAGGUUGAAGGUUGGGUAACACUAACUGGAGGACCGAACCGACUAAUGUUGAAAAAUUAGCGGAUGACUUGUGGCUGGGGGUGAAAGGCCAAUCAAACCGGGAGAUAGCUGGUUCUCCCCGAAAGCUAUUUAGGUAGCGCCUCGUGAAUUCAUCUCCGGGGGUAGAGCACUGUUUCGGCAAGGGGGUCAUCCCGACUUACCAACCCGAUGCAAACUGCGAAUACCGGAGAAUGUUAUCACGGGAGACACACGGCGGGUGCUAACGUCCGUCGUGAAGAGGGAAACAACCCAGACCGCCAGCUAAGGUCCCAAAGUCAUGGUUAAGUGGGAAACGAUGUGGGAAGGCCCAGACAGCCAGGAUGUUGGCUUAGAAGCAGCCAUCAUUUAAAGAAAGCGUAAUAGCUCACUGGUCGAGUCGGCCUGCGCGGAAGAUGUAACGGGGCUAAACCAUGCACCGAAGCUGCGGCAGCGACGCUUAUGCGUUGUUGGGUAGGGGAGCGUUCUGUAAGCCUGUGAAGGUGUGCUGUGAGGCAUGCUGGAGGUAUCAGAAGUGCGAAUGCUGACAUAAGUAACGAUAAAGCGGGUGAAAAGCCCGCUCGCCGGAAGACCAAGGGUUCCUGUCCAACGUUAAUCGGGGCAGGGUGAGUCGACCCCUAAGGCGAGGCCGAAAGGCGUAGUCGAUGGGAAACAGGUUAAUAUUCCUGUACUUGGUGUUACUGCGAAGGGGGGACGGAGAAGGCUAUGUUGGCCGGGCGACGGUUGUCCCGGUUUAAGCGUGUAGGCUGGUUUUCCAGGCAAAUCCGGAAAAUCAAGGCUGAGGCGUGAUGACGAGGCACUACGGUGCUGAAGCAACAAAUGCCCUGCUUCCAGGAAAAGCCUCUAAGCAUCAGGUAACAUCAAAUCGUACCCCAAACCGACACAGGUGGUCAGGUAGAGAAUACCAAGGCGCUUGAGAGAACUCGGGUGAAGGAACUAGGCAAAAUGGUGCCGUAACUUCGGGAGAAGGCACGCUGAUAUGUAGGUGAAGUCCCUCGCGGAUGGAGCUGAAAUCAGUCGAAGAUACCAGCUGGCUGCAACUGUUUAUUAAAAACACAGCACUGUGCAAACACGAAAGUGGACGUAUACGGUGUGACGCCUGCCCGGUGCCGGAAGGUUAAUUGAUGGGGUUAGCGGUAACGCGAAGCUCUUGAUCGAAGCCCCGGUAAACGGCGGCCGUAACUAUAACGGUCCUAAGGUAGCGAAAUUCCUUGUCGGGUAAGUUCCGACCUGCACGAAUGGCGUAAUGAUGGCCAGGCUGUCUCCACCCGAGACUCAGUGAAAUUGAACUCGCUGUGAAGAUGCAGUGUACCCGCGGCAAGACGGAAAGACCCCGUGAACCUUUACUAUAGCUUGACACUGAACAUUGAGCCUUGAUGUGUAGGAUAGGUGGGAGGCUUAGAAGUGUGGACGCCAGUCUGCAUGGAGCCGACCUUGAAAUACCACCCUUUAAUGUUUGAUGUUCUAACGUUGACCCCUAAUCGGGGUUGCGGACAGUGUCUGGUGGGUAGUUUGACUGGGGCGGUCUCCUCCUAAAGAGUAACGGAGGAGCACGAAGGUUGGCUAAUCCUGGUCGGACAUCAGGAGGUUAGUGCAAUGGCAUAAGCCAGCUUGACUGCGAGCGUGACGGCGCGAGCAGGUGCGAAAGCAGGUCAUAGUGAUCCGGUGGUUCUGAAUGGAAGGGCCAUCGCUCAACGGAUAAAAGGUACUCCGGGGAUAACAGGCUGAUACCGCCCAAGAGUUCAUAUCGACGGCGGUGUUUGGCACCUCGAUGUCGGCUCAUCACAUCCUGGGGCUGAAGUAGGUCCCAAGGGUAUGGCUGUUCGCCAUUUAAAGUGGUACGCGAGCUGGGUUUAGAACGUCGUGAGACAGUUCGGUCCCUAUCUGCCGUGGGCGCUGGAGAACUGAGGGGGGCUGCUCCUAGUACGAGAGGACCGGAGUGGACGCAUCACUGGUGUUCGGGUUGUCAUGCCAAUGGCACUGCCCGGUAGCUAAAUGCGGAAGAGAUAAGUGCUGAAAGCAUCUAAGCACGAAACUUGCCCCGAGAUGAGUUCUCCCUGACUCCUUGAGAGUCCUGAAGGAACGUUGAAGACGACGACGUUGAUAGGCCGGGUGUGUAAGCGCAGCGAUGCGUUGAGCUAACCGGUACUAAUGAACCGUGAGGCUUAACCUU
rnacentral:rRNA from 1 species